rnacentral:tRNA from 2 species
CAGGGAUUAGUUUAUUUAAAAUAAUGGUUUUGGGGAUCAAUGAUAGAAGAUUUUUCUAUCCCUGA